UAUAUGCCUCUGAUGAUAUAUUUUUAAAAUUACAAAUAUUUUUUAUUUUUCAGCCACUCCACUUGGCAUGUGGGAUCAUAGUUCCCCAACCAGAGAUCGAACCCAAACUCCCUACAUUCAAAGUGUGGAGUCUUGACCACUGGACUACCAGGGAAGUCCCUUUGGUGAUAUUUUUUUUUCCUGUUCUUCUGAAAGAUGUUAAAUUUAUUAUGACUGGAAAUUUUUUUAUUUCUUCUUGGAGGUAGAAGGACUUUGGGGGAUCAGUUAGAUGAGAUAAGAAAACUGAAUUUGUCUCUUAACAUUUUUAAGUUAUUUACUUUUCCAAGCCUCAGUUUCUUCAUCUCUCAGUUUUACACUCCAGAGAAUAUUUAUCACAUAAGAGAGUUUUUACCAGAAAUAAGAACUGGUUGAAGACAAUCUCCCUUGUCUGUUCUUGGAUGUUUUGCCUUUAUUUCCUUCCCUCGUUACUGAAGAACAAUUUCUCUCCUUCAACUCUUCCCUUCCUUCAUUCUUUGCCCCUUUUUUUGUCUUUCUUUACCUUUUAAAAAAUUUCUUUACCAGUUUGUUAUAAAGGAGACUUAAAAGAUACAGCAGCCAGAUGAAGAUGUGUGUUGGGCAAGGUCCGGAAGGGUACCCUGUAUAGGAGCUUCUGUCUCCAAGGAACUGGGUGCUGCAUCCUCGUUGCUUGUGGAUGCUUUAAUGAACCCAGGAACUUUCUGCCUUCUGUGGAAUGGAUACACAGUUGGCCCUCUGAAUCUGCAGGUGCGAACCCCAGGACACUGAACACUGACUGUAUUCAGUGUAUUAAGGGGCCACUUUAUAUGAGACUUGUGCAUCCAUGGACCCUGAAACCAAUCUCCUAUGGACACAGAGGGACUGACUGAGAAACUGUGGGUAACCAACUGGUUUAAUCCAUUUCACCUGUAACCUGCCUUCGCUAAUCAAGAUCGGUUCAACUGUUGCUGCAAAAAGCCUGCUUGUCCUCUAAGCAGCUGCUGCUGCUGCUGCUGCUGCUAAGUUGCUUCAGUCGUGUCCAACUCCGUGUGACUCCAUAGACGGCAGCCCACCAGGCUCCUCCGCCCAUGGGAUUUUCCAGGCAAGAGUACUGGAGUGGGGUGCCAUUGCCUUCUCCCUCUAAGCAGCAUGGCGUCUAAAUAACAAGAUGUUCUCCAGGAACCCAGAUCAGCUGUGUCUAGCUGGAGCUGGGCUGGUUGACUGGGAAGGACUACCCACCCUCCACCUGGGCUUGUGUGAGUGUCACUCACUGACCUUUUUACAGAGGGCUGGAAACGCCACCCUCACACCUUGCCAAGCAUUUCUUUUUUUGAACUUGCAGAGGCUGCGGCUGAGCUGCAUCUGUGAAGAGCAAAGAGGUCACCUCUUUCUCAUCACCUUUCCCCAAGAGCCCCACGUACCUGCGCCUGAGGACGCCAGCUCAUUCCAUAAAUACCUCAACCCCUUCCUUACGGGAGGUGCAUCUGAGACUUUCUCCUUUCAUUUCUACCUUAGGCUGCCUUGCACAUAAACCUCAUCUCUGCUGCAGAGCUUGGGGUCUCAGGAUUUGGCUCGCUGGGCGUUGGGGAAAAGAAACCUAGUUUGGUAACAACUUUACAACUGAAGGUGCCACCUGGUGCGGAAGGAAAAGCUCUGAGCUGUACUUUAGAAGAACUAAGAAUGGUACUAGGCCAGCAUGGUACCAACUUCUCCAUACUGGUUUUCUCACCAGGAAAGCUAAAAGGAAAGCACAGCUUCUCGGCGCCAUCAGCUCCUUUGAUGACUGGGUUGUAGGUCUAGCAGCUUCCCUGGCGCCCACUUUGAGCCUCACUGAUGCCCCAGGUAUCACGAGUUCACUGGAGCCCUGUGCUAAUGGGCGUGGGUACCACAACCCAAGGAUGAGGCUGCCAGAAAUCGCCGCAGACACACACGCAUGCGCAUACACAUGGUGUGCGUCCCUGCUCCGCUCAACGCAAGUCCACACCCGGACUUCACUUACAAAGCACAUAUUCAAGGGUACAAUGAUUAAGACCUGUAAGAGGGUGCUAGCAGAGUGUUACACCCAGCACAGGACCCUCCAGAGCGUGGAGCGCUGCAGACCUCACGUUAUCCAUCUCCGAACCGCCCUAGCUCGGCAUCGGUACUUCCCACCCCAGACUUACCUUCUUGCUGGUAAAUGAUCCGGGUUCCAAGCCUCCGGCCUCUGAAAUGAAAGCCAGGUGAGGGAGAGGGAGGAGGAACCAGGCCCCAUCGAUGUUGCUGAAGGUGUGGGUGAAGACAGAAGGAAAAGGAACUCUGUGUUGCUUUGUUGUCCCUUUAGUCACUGCCAACGGACAUUGAAGUGUUCACACACAAAGCUGCUGCAGGCCAGUGCGGGAGAAACUCCUAAGGAGGCCCACACUGUGUGAUUUUAAGAACUGGAUCGAAACAGCUGCUCCCCCACCCCCAUCCCCACCCCCCAGCCCGUGGCUUUGGGAAGGAUAUGUCCUUUCUCUCAUCCUGAGCUUGACCUUCAGCUCUGCCAGGCUGAGGCCAGGGACACCUGUCAGGCCCCAGAUAGAAACCCGUGUUCUUGGGGAAGGGUGGGGGCUAGCAGUACGCUGUCAUCUACAAUCCACCUAGCUGUAUCAGUUCUGGAAUUCUCUGGCACUGCCAGGCCUGGGUUUGACCCCUGUUUGGGGAACUGAGAUCCCAGGAGUCAUACAGUGUGGCCAAAAACAAAAAACAAACAACCCCACCACACCCCACAAAAAACCCAAACUGUAUCAAUCCUAACCUCCCACCCUCCCACUCCUAGAAGUUUGGUGAAGAACACUCAGGCUCUCUCUGCAAUCAAGGCUGGUGUGUAAUUUACCCUCUGUUUAAACCCCAAUGUAGGGGCUUCGCUGCUGGCUAGGUGGUAAAGAAUCUAUCCGCUAGUGCAGGGGACACCAGUUCAAUCCCUGAUUUGGGAAGAUCCCACAUGUGGUGCAGCAACUAAACCCGUUCAAGCCAACUACCAAGCCUGUGCUCUGGAGCCCAGGAGCGGCAACCAC